GAGCUCGGCCUGGCGGGGACCCUGGGCCAGCCCCGCGCCUCCGUGGCCCGGGCGUCUCGUGCGUGUCCGCGAACUCGCGUGCGCGCGUCACCUCGGACCGCAGCAUGGCUCGGAGGGCGGCCCUACUCGCGCCGCCCUAGUGCUGCGAAGGGCCUCGGAGCCCAAACCCGGAACCGCCAUCUGGGACUGGGAAGACGACAUGGCCAGAAGCCGGCGGGAGUGCAGUGACACGAUCGGGACCCACUGUAGCCUCAAACUCCUGCCCUUAAGCAAUCCAACUGCUUCAGCCUCCCGAGUAGCUGAGACUGCAGGUGAGGACCGCCAUGUCUAGCUUUUUGUUUUUUUUUAAACAUAUGGGGUCUCUCUGUGUUGCCCAGCCUGCUCUGGAACUCCUAGCUUCAAUUGACCCUCUGCCUCAGCCUCCCAAAGUGUUGGGAUUGCAGAUGUGAGCCACUGUG
rnacentral:lncRNA from 10 species